rnacentral:tRNA from 1 species
CUUUCUGUAGUAUAUCAGUACGUCUAGUUUCGACCUAGAGGGGCCAGUUUGGCAGAAAGG